CACGGUGUCCAGCGUUAUUAUCGGCUAGAACCAGUUUCGCGUCAAGACAUCUUGCAUCAAUAUGUCAAAUAAUAGCAAAUGUUCGAUUUCCUCAACAGAGAAUGAAGAUGUUAUUUUCUCGCGGAAAGUAACAUAGUUAUUUUCGAUAGUGCACAUAAAAAACACAUGGAUAAAUUUUAAUUAAUAAUUGGAGAAAUAUUUUCGAAGAAGUAGGAAGAUCAAGUGAUGACUGUAAGAAAAGCUUGUAGAAUAAUAGAGAUAUCAUCUAUAUGAAAAAGAAAAAGAAACUUCCGACAAGAUCAACCGCUCCAUUUAAAAAAUAUAAAAUACAAUGAAGCUAUUAUUUUUGGACACUAUUAAAUACGAAAGAAGUACUAUAAAAAAAUAAAUAUGGACAAAACUAGUGCUAGCUUGCAAAAGCAUCUAAUACAGACAAAAUCGGACCAGAAGAUAAAGGAAACAUUCAAAAUGAUAAAGAAUAUAGCUAUAGCAAUGAAUUGCGUAAUAAUAUUCUCAAGAUUUUUCGAUGAGAAAUUUAUUUUCCAUAAUCACGAAAAAUUGAUGGCUAAUAUAAGUGCAAAUGAGUAAUGAAUCAAUGUCUAUAGCAUGACUGCCUUCUACUUAUCAAACAAAUGCCAGUCACGUUGACGCAAGUAGCUUGAAAAAUAUAUUUAUAUUUGUACAUUGAUUACAC